CGGCGAGGCCGACGUGGGGUGAGAUGGUCGGCACCGUGGCCCAGGAGCUGACGGCACCGGUUGGUGUCGCCAGAUCUGUGAGGCGCCUACGUCGUGGUUGGAGGCGCCGGCUCUGGUGCGUGUGGUGGUGGAGAAGGCCUCUGGCAUCGUCGGUAGAACACUGCACCAACCCCUUUUGCAAUCAAGGUGCCUCAAGCGAAAGCUAAGAUCUGGUUUUUCUGUAUCGGGCAACGAUGGCGUCUUCGGACGCCGUGCCUUCCUUGGAGGCGUUGCCUUUGGAGCCCUGGAUUGGUGGCAAACGAUGCUUGUAGUGGUGAGGCUGAGUUGGGUUUGGCCAGAGAUGACGGCUUCGAGUUGCGCGGGCUUGCCAAUGCACGAGUUGUACCUGUCGGGGUGACCUUUUCUUUGCUUCGGUCGCCGGAGAGGUCCAGUUCUGCCUGCCUUCUUCUGGCGUAAGGAGCUACUUUCUGUUCGGCGUCAUUGGAACGGGUGACGGUUCGUCUUUGCAGUUGCGACUUGUUUGUCGGCUCUGCUUUGUAAUGCUUGUGGUCAAGGUUUUCGUGUGGUUUUCCUUGAAUAAGCCGUGCAGCUUGGUUUUCCUUAUAAAUGAAGCCAUUUUAUUAUUCUUAAUGAAAUGCAGUAGCACGUUGGCCUCU